UACGGAGGGUGCAAGCGUUGUUCGGAUUUAUUGGGCGUAAAGGGCGUGUAGGCGGUUUUGUAAGUCUGAUGUGAAAGCCCUGGGCUCAACCUGGGAAGUGCAUUGGAAACUGCAAGACUUGAGUACGGGAGAGGGCAGUGGAAUUCCCAGUGUAGGAGUGAAAUCCGUAGAUAUUGGGAGGAACACCGGUGGCGAAGGCGGCUGCCUGGACCGAUACUGACGCUGAGACGCGAAAGCGUGGGGAGCAAACAGG
rnacentral:rRNA from 1 species